CCCUUAGAUGCUCUGGGCCGCACGCGCGCUACACUGGUCGAUGCAACGAGUCUCUUUCCUUGGCCGACAGGCCUGGGCAAUCUUUGAACAUCGAUCGUGAUCGGGAUAGAUUCUUGUAAUUUUUGAUCUUAAACGAGGAAUUCCUAGUAAACGCAAGUCAUCAGCUUGCAUUGAUUACGUCCCUGCCCUUUGUACACACCGCCCGUCGCACCUACCGAUUGAAUGGUCCGGUGAAAUCUCCGGACUGGCGUGAGUCGGAGCAAUCUGACAAACGCCGGAAAGUUGAUUAAACCUUACCAUUUAGAGGAAGGUGAAGUCGUNACA
rnacentral:rRNA from 1 species